CAGCAGCCGCGGUAAUACGUAGGGUGCAAGCGUUAAUCGGAAUUACUGGGCGUAAAGCGUGCGCAGGCGGUUUUGUAAGUCUGAUGUGAAAUCCCCGGGCUCAACCUGGGAAUUGCAUUGGAGACUGCAAGGCUAGAAUCUGGCAGAGGGGGGUAGAAUUCCACGUGUAGCAGUGAAAUGCGUAGAUAUGUGGAGGAACACCGAUGGCGAAGGCAGCCCCCUGGGUCAAGAUUGACGCUCAUGCACGAAAGCGUGGGGAGCAAACAGGAUUAGAUACCCUGGUAGUCCACGCCCUAAACGAUGUCUACUAGUUGUCGGGUCUUAAUUGACUUGGUAACGCAGCUAACGCGUGAAGUAGACCGCCUGGGGAGU
rnacentral:rRNA from 1 species